rnacentral:rRNA from 1 species
UACAGAGGGGGCAAGCGUUGUUCGGAAUUACUGGGCGUAAAGGGCGCGUAGGCGGCCUUCUAAGUCGAACGUGAAAUCCCCGGGCUCAACCCGGGAACUGCGUCCGAUACUGGGAGGCUUGAAUCCGGGAGAGGGAUGCGGAAUUCCAGGUGUAGCGGUGAAAUGCGUAGAUAUCUGGAGGAACACCGGUGGCGAAGGCGGCAUCCUGGACCAAUUCUGACGCUGAGGAGCGAAAGCCAGGGGAGCAAACGGG